rnacentral:tRNA from 1 species
AAAGAAUUAGUUUAAAAAAAACUUUAAUUUGUCAAAUUGGUAAUACUGUAAGGUAUUCUUUU